rnacentral:rRNA from 1 species
CAGUCGCCGCGGGAAUACGAAGGGGGCUAGCGUUGCACGGAAUGACUGGGCGUAAAGGGCGCGUAGGCGGCACACACAGUCAGGCGUGAAAUUCCUGGGCUUAACCUGGGGGCUGCGUUUGAUACAUGUGAGCUAGAGGAUGGAAGAGGCUCGUGGAAUUCCCAGUGUAGAGGUGAAAUUCGUAGAUAUUGGGAAGAACACCGGUGGCGAAGGCGGCAACCUGGUCCAUCACUGACGCUGAGGCGCGAAAGCGUGGGGAGCAAACAGGAUUAGAGACCCCCGUAGUCCCUGUCUCUUAUAC